rnacentral:lncRNA from 1 species
UUGACAGCUUGCGAUGUAAACAAUUUUAGUCUCUGCUAUUUCUGAUGAAAUGUUUCAAGCUAACCACAGUUAUGAAUGGUUUCCUCAACCACAUAAUGGACCACACCAUAUAAGGUUGUAAUGAUUUUGUAGAUAAGAUAAGACUACAAACAUGGCCACUUUGCCAAGACAGACCAAAGGUUUACCUGGGUAAAUUAGAACAUGUCGGCGUGGCUUAAUUACCGUUCCGCCCACUCCCGAUAUAUAUGCGUUUGUUUACCUGUGUUCGAGAGAUGCUUCAUGAACCACCACCAGAACGCAAGCCCGUUUACCGUGUCUCUGUUAGAAUAAACCACGUGUUGAUUUUUUACCACUCUUCGAGUCAUACCUGCACGAGACGACCAUACCACAAAGGAUCUCAAUAGUUUUUCAUCCUUUGAUAAAUAAAAUGUAGGCCUAAAAAUCCAAAUCCUGGAGAAAGAAGUGUGGGACCUGCCUAAAAUAGACUACAUGCGUCUUAUUGGUGGUUGUUGAAGAGUAACUAUCGCUAAUGCACAGCGCGGCAAAAUGUUAAAUUGAGGGUCAAAUGGGGCAAAUUACCCUUUUCCCAUCCGUUCAACCACCGUUGCUAUCUACGUCUGGUGCUAAAGCAGGCGGUUACAUUUAAUUAGUUAAGUGAUAAAACUAAAAGGGCUGGGAAAUUCUGUCUCGAUGACUACAUCACUUUAAAUCAUCACUUAAUGAACGCAGCCUACGUCUCAUCUCAUCUUCGUCCGCUUAUCCGGGGUCGGGUCGCGUGGGGAGCAUAUACAUGUGUACGUUUUUCAAAUGACAUUUAGUAAUGGAAGCCUUCCCUCAGUUGCCCCAAAUGCAAUUUGAAACCUCCAAGAAAGCCAUGGGAGAAUCUAGGAGGAAUAUGGGUCUCCAAGUCCUUGAGGCAUCAGUCUUUGAUGAAGAGACAUGUUCAAUGUGUGGAGCUGACAGGCCCCCUGGAGAAGCACCUGCCUACGGAGCCCCUCUGGUGACAUCUGGGAAAAAAAUAUAUAUCUGUUUGCCCGACUUAGUGAUCUGUUUGCAUGACUUGAUAAUCUGUGGCCACAAUUUAAUAAAUUAAGGGAACGAGAUAACUAAUUUGUGGCCACCGUUUAAUAAUUUGUGGGAACAAGAUAAUUAUUUUGUGGCCACAGUUUAAUAAUUCGUGGGAACGAGAUACUUAUGUUGUGUUUUAUGUUUUGGUUGUCUAUUGUUGCAGCAGGGGUUAGACGCAUGUCGUUCUAUUUUAACCUCG